rnacentral:rRNA from 1 species
UGAACGCUGGCGGCGUGCCUAAUACAUGCAAGUCGCGCGAACGGACGAGAAGCUUGCUUCUCUGCUGUUAGCGGCGGACGGGUGAGUAACACGUGGAUAACCUACCUAUAAGACUGGGAUAACUUCGGGAAACCGGAGCUAAUACCGGAUAAUAUUUUGAACCGCAUGGUUCAAAAGUGAAAGACGGUCUUGCUGUCACUUAUAGAUGGAUCCGCGCUGCAUUAGCUAGUUGGUAAGGUAACGGCUUACCAAGGCAACGAUGCAUAGCCGACCUGAGAGGGUGGUCGGCCACACUGGAACUGAGACACGGUCCAGACUCUUACGGGAGGCAGCAGUAGGGAAUCUUCCGCAAUGGGCGAAAGCCUGACGGAGCAACGCCGCGUGAGUGAUGAAGGUCUUCGGAUCGUAAAACUCUGUUAUUAGGGAAGAACAUAUGUGUAAGUAACUGUGCACAUCUUGACGGUACCUAAUCAGAAAGCCACGGCUAACUACGUG